GAGAGUCUGGGUCUGGGCAGUCAGCUGGAAUUUCCAACUCUGCUGCAGUGUCUAUAGGGAGCAUAUGGCUGGCCUGCCCCUUCCCCUGAAGGUCCCUACCAGGCAUGUAAUGACCGUUGGGGACAGCUGCAACAGGAUAUGGCUUGAUCACUUCCAAGAUGACCCAUCUGGCCUGGAUCUCUUCUUCAGAUAUCCCUUCCAGUCCCCUGACCCUCCAGACCUCAGCCUCAACGGAGCAGCCAACAAGAAGCACCGGCUAGGUCCCAUUUGUGAAUCCCGAGAGGACCCGCUGCACACUGCACCGUCAGAAGGCAGGGAUCCUGACUGCUGCCAGGGAAGGGACAGCUAAUCCCUUUGGUGGCUCAGGCCACCAGCAACUAGGAUCUUCUCUAGGCACUGCAGUCUACAGGAUGCCUGUAGUGCGGAGAGAGCAUGUACGGGGUAUCCUGGGGCUGAAGUCGAGCCAGACAACCUGGAUGGAACACAGGGGCCAGGCACGUCCCAUCCUAGUUUAGGUCAACAGGUAAGCAGGCUCUUGAAGUGGAAACUUCAGGGUUCUUUGGGAAGUCGGUUGGAUGGGGCGAACAUGUGAAGGAACAUUUCACUGAAGCAGACACAGGUGAAAGGAUGUUCUGCCAGAGCAAGCACAUGA